UUCAGGGGGCAGAUAGCCAGUGAGCCGGGGUGCAACUAAAGCUCAUUUUCACUGUUCAGUUUUGUUGAAUAAAAUGAUAGAAAGUAGAAAACAAUUUAAACACAAUUUCCCAAAGUGAAUUGUGAAUUGAUCUUAUUUUGACCAAGCAACACAAGAAGAUGUUUGGUUUGUUUACUGUUUGGUUAAUUUACACUGUUCCCUUUCAAAUAUACUAAACUAAACUAGGCAAAGUAAAAAUACUCAAAGUAAUGUCAGUGUUAUAAGAAAAAGGUAGAAAAGGUACCUUUAAGUAAAAGUAGUGCUAAAAAAAAUGUAGAUUAUGUCAUUACAUCAUCAUUUCUCAUGCGUUCAUGUAAAAGCAGGCUUAUACUGUAUUACGUGGCUGAGUUGGGGCACAUUUAAAAAAAUAACUUUGUACAUGAUGCCAACUGAUGAUUAUUUUCAUUAUGGAUUUAUCUGCUGAUGAUUUUCUUGAUAAAUUCAUUUUCUGGUUUGUAAAAAUGGAGACUUGGCUGAUUUUGUCAGUAUAAAAUUUUGUAAAUAAAAUAUUUUAUUUCCCUCUGAAAUCUAGUGGAGUACAACAAGUAGUGUGAAAAAAAAAGUACCUUAAAUGUAUCCUUAAAUACAGUACUAAUAAAAAGCGGCAAAUGCUUCACAUUUGACAAGCUUGAAGAAAGGAAUAUUUUUUAAAUUAAUUAUGUAUCAUAAUUUAUACUAAUUUUUUGCAUUUGAAUUAAAUAAUUUUAACGAGAUGGCUGCCAAUCAUUUUCCCGUCUAUUUUUCAGCUCUUAAGCAAAGACCGUAAAUAAAAGCUGAUGCUGUCACACGAGGCUAAUAGCGCAACCGGCCUUGUGGGAAUCCGUCCUCUAACCUAACCAGAACCGACAACAUGUUCUCGCCACUUAACUUCACAUGGCCACAUCGUGCAGCAUGUAAAGUAGACUUUGCCUAUCAAGCUGUUUAAUAAAAAUUAAAGCCUGUCUAUCCAUGGGAGAGAGCACAGAGCUGUGUUUAGAGUGACUGAUCGAGAGCCCAGAAUCAAAGGGCCCUGUGGCUCGAGCUGCGAGUGUGUCUGGGAAUUGGCCCAACUCUUAAAGAGCCAAGCUUCCCUCAUCUUGACUGGGGGCCGAGUCGACCCCUUCAAAAUAGGAAGAAGCCAUUUCUGCUGGCAGCCAAGUGGUUCCUCUCUGGAAGCCUGUCAGGUGAGGAGUCGGGGCUGCCAACUGUAACCCCCUCAGGUGGGCACAGGGGGCAGGGCAGACCUCCAUCAUGGCUCCGGCACUGUGACACGCAGCAGAUGAUGCAGAGGGCAGCGAGCUCCCUGAAGCCUCUCCGCUAAAAAUCUGCUGUGAAAACACUCCAGUCGACUCCACAGUGGUGGAUUCAUGAGAAUACAACAAUCAGAAUAAGCGUAAAAUUAAGACGCUCUUUACGUUUCAACUUUUAUUUUUACUAGUUCUAUUUGAUGACAGCGUUGUGCUUAUGACCUGGUUAGGUUUAGAUACAAGGACCACUCCGUUAUGGUUGGGAAAAGAUUGUGUUUUUCCUUAAAAUACCUGUUUUCGUUCCCGCUAACACGGCCAGAGGAGUCUUGAAGUCCUGUCAAACACAUCCAGUGGUUUCACUCUUAGAAAUGUUGAAACACAGCCUCGCACUCUGUAACUCCACCACCUCCAUCUCCUGAUAAGAAAGUCAGGUCAGGAGCAUGUUGAACAUGUAAAUGUAAUAUAACACAUACUGGAGAAAUGUUAGUAUCGUGCGUAACGAACGACACGCACAGAGGUGAAGGUAUCGUCGUGUUGCAGAAACUGGACACAUUUUAUUCAAGUGCCAUGGCAGGUUACAUCAAUACAUCACGCAUCACUCUUUACGUAUGAUACGUACGUAUGAUGUCUGCAAUCUUAUGUGUACCACCUACAUAUAUCAAAAGAAGAAGAAAAAACAUCAUAUUAUUAUGGCCUAUGGGGGGGGGGAAUGAUUAAAAAGAUAACUGAAUAUAAUGUAAAGGAAAAUGAAGAAAAAAACAUAAUAUAUUCAUACACAGUACACAAAUAGACCCAAAGCUCCACAGUAUAACCAUAUACAGUACUGAUGGUUUAACAAGAAACACUUGAACAUCACAUUACUAAAGCAUCAGGCACCAAUUAUCUUAACGUGAUUCAAUCAUAGUUAGAAAAAAUAAAAACAGAAAACGAAACUGUUACCUCUGCUACUCCAAACUUCUUCUUCCAGCCUUUGUUAACUUCACCUCCACGACAACAAACCAGCAGAAAAAACCAACAACACGUCUUCUUGGCUGCUUAAAAAAAAAAAAAAAAAAACACAUCCCGACGACAUCAAAAUGAACCUCUGGAAGAUUUUCUUAUUUUCCUUUGUUUCUGAUGACUCUUUGUCGGGCUGCGAUUCAUCAUGCUGCACUCUCCCUUUAAAUCAACCUCAAACCAAUUUAACACCACAACACCAUGUUGCUUGUUCUCGCUAAAACUGGUUAAACACAGAUGGCGCGGUGUCAUGUUGAGAUAUUUCCAGCAACGUUACAAUGGAGUUAAGCAGAGCGGAGAACUAGGUGGAGUUCUGCUGAACAGCCAGGGGUGGAUUCACUUGCGACGAAUUCGGCUCUCCAUCUUUCAUUUUCAGAGUGUAAUUGAAAAACGUUUAAUUGCUAUGCACAAAAAAAGAUGAUGAUGCUCUUGAAGCCUCUCAGCCUCCGCGGUAUGGAUCAGAGGGGACGUGAAACUUAAUGUGGAACAAAACUACAAUUUCAGUUAAACUUUUAUAACAUCGUGACUAUUGAGACAAGUUUAACCUCUUAUUUACUGUUUGUUGAAACCACAACACGAAUCCCUGCUCAAUUCGAAGCGUCCUCUCAGUUUACUUUGUCGAGCCUGUCAUGCUGCUGCAUUCAGCAUUUUGAGAUUUAAAGAUCACAGAUAUUUUGUUUGUCUGUGAAGCAGUCUGUGGCAGUAAUUAGCCUGUAGCAUUAGCAUGAAGGCUGGAGGCAGGAGGGAAAAAGCUAAACUUAAAAACAAAAAUACACUCAAAGGAGCUGUUUGUAAGAUAUGGUCAGAGUUCUAGGUUAAAACAUUAAAAACUGGAACUAAAAUGACAGUAUUGACGUUUACUGUGUCUUCUUUAGCUAGCAUGCUAACCAGCUAGCCCCAUCUUGCCUCCGAGGACCACUUCGCAUUGCAGGAGGCGCUAGUUGGUUAGCUGCUGCAUUUUUACCCGAGAGAUGCAUGAGUAGCGUCUUCACUGUUUCCAAAAGCUUUCUUAGAUUUAGUUGCGCUAAAUGAACAAAAUACACUCAUAAAGUGUCAAGAUAUAUAACACUCCUUUUGUUUUCCUUAACAAACAGAAAAAUACAACUGUAUGCCUUCUGAAUGUUGCCUGCUGCAUCCGGUGUACACCUCUCCUUUCUCUUGUCAUCCCCAAAAUCCUCGUCCAGGUCAGAGCAGCUGUAACUCACCUUCCUGCUGUAUCCCGUUCUCAAAUGUUCACUCUCACAUCAGUCUAAAAUCGAAUCGAAAUCUAAAAUCUAAAUCUGGCCGAGUUGUCCAAGGUCUCAGUCCAGUUAAUCUCCAGGACCGCUGGCUCCACCGCGAACUGAACCAGUAGCUACUAAGCUAAUGUGCAAAUUGACGGCCAGCCAUGUAACUGAAGCCACUGUUGUUUUAGCGCAACGUCAUGGUGACUGGGUCCAUCACUGAGUUUUGGAGGUGCUGAAGGAACGAAGAGGCCUCAGACGCAGCAAGACGACAGCGAGCCGAAGACAGCUGAUGAGCGAAGGGAGAGAAAGACAUCAAAUCAACGCUGAAAAGUGUCGAUUAGAGAACGACACAUGGACGCCUCUGUCAGCAGGACAUCAGGAUUCAUCUGCGGCUUCCAAAACUGCAGAUGAAGAAUAAAUCAGAUUCUGAAACAUCGUCUUUAAUACUCCUACCAUUCUGCUGAGUAUCAGCUUCUCCUGCUCCUCAUUUCUCUUUACAGGACGGAACUUAAACGUGGCUGCGGACGACAUAAACUUCCCGUCGCAACAACUAAAUGUGUCCCAGCGAAACACAGAAUGAGAGACGUACUUCCUCCAUAAUCUCAAUGUUUACAUCAGAAUAAAUCAUGUUGAUAAUAUGUGUAAAAAAAAAAAAAAACAUUAAAUAGUGACAUCACAUUAAGUGACAAUACAUUCGGUCAUACGGAAAGUGUUUAGUUAAGGUUAUAGACUCAAUAUGAAGAGCGUUAAAGGGUUUUGUGACUCGAAUGAAAGCAAAUGCUGUUUUUGAUUUCGAUUUCACAUUUGCACUGUUUUAUUAUCAUUAUUCUUGUUGAUGCUUUUUCUUAUUCAUCACGUGUGCCAUGUAAAAGUGCUUUACUUUGUAUAUUGUACAUUUCAGUUGUAUAUAUUUCUUUAUUACAUUGUUGGCAUUUCUGUGGAUAGCAAAGGAAGAAUUUCAUUGUACAGAGGAAUAUGUUUCUUAUCUGUGCAUAUGACAAUAAACACUUUGAAUCUUGAAUCUUCAGUCACUAACCUUUACCCUCUACCUAAAACUGGUCCGGUGAAGGUGACAAAAUACAGACAGGACUGUGUUUGCU